CCAGGGGAACACACUUCCAGUUUCAGAUCGUGCGCUCUAAGACAGCCAGGAACUUUCCUGUUUGCUCCCCACUGCAUCCUCCAUUUUCCCACAAGCAUCCCACAGUCUCUGUAGCCAUUCUUACACCGAAAGAGAAAGUCAAAUAAAAGCCAGACAGUGGACGAGACGCUCCAGAAGGAUGAAUUUUCAGAAGCAAGAGCUCCAGGUGAAGGGGUCAGGGACUGCAGGAGGCCCAUGUCCUAGGUCAUAGCGCCCUCUGGUGUCAAAAGCUCAGCUCUGCGCCUGGAGCUGCAAGUGGACCGUUAACAGCAAGGGAGCCCACGACUGACCUCCCAGGCCUUGGUUUCCAGCUCUCCACCUCACCCACGUCAUCACCAAGGGCAACUUGCUAAGGCUCAGCUCUGACUGCACUCCCUCUUGUCCCACCCUCAGCGUAACUCUGCCACCGGCUCUCCACUGCCUGCCGGACAAACUGUUCGAGUCUUGCACUGUCUGCCCAGGACUCCCCAGCCUCCGGGCCCUCGGCGUCCUGCCGCCCUCCUGAGCAUUUUCUAGGCGGUGGACUUACUUCAUGCCUUCGCUCAUGCUAUCCUUCUUAAUAGGACUGCUGCCCACUUUCUCCCCGGAGAAACUCUUCAGUGUCAAACGCGGCCUCUUCCAUGAACCCUUCCUGGACUCUCCUAGGUAGAAGCAAGCGAUAGUUUCUCCCUCUGGAUCUCUGGAGACCCCACAGGCCUUCCCUGAAACCAUGGACUCCUUGGUGAUGCUAACUCAACUUAGUUGUCUCAAUUUAAGUUUAUCAUAGUUAUGGAAUCAAAAAAAGUCUUUUCCCUGUAAAACAACAAGAAACCUCUAAUGCAAGUGUAUCCUGGCUACUAAAGAGGCUAAGACAGGAAGAUGACAUAGACAUGUCAGGAACCCAGCCUCAACCAUGUUGAUGCGGACAAUGUCCAGUGGGAAGGCAUAGUAAGAAGACAGAAGGAACCUCAGCUCAAAAUGGUCAUCCUGUCAGCCAGGACCACUAGCCUAAGAAUAAGCUGUCUGCAGUUUCCUGCCUCUGAGCCUCAACAUGAGAUCUCUCUACAACACUUUCUUCCACAACCAUGCAGGCUGCAGGAUUGCAACUGUCUUUUUAAUCACGCCUUCAGCAGUGCCUGGGACAUUGGAGAAUAAAGCCAGUCCCAUCUGAACCCUCCGAAGAGCAAGAUCACCCAAAAGGAAAAAGCUGCUCUUGUGAGCCUCUGGAGGACUCGAGAUUUCUCUUCAAAAAGCAAGACUCAAAAAAAAAAAAGAAAAAAAGCAAGGCUCCAGUGCCACUGCAGUUUUCCUUUCUUCAACCCAGUGAGCCACAGCACUCCAAGGUAGUUGGAGAGCACAUAAUCCCCAGUAGGGAGGGUCUACAGCCCCUUCCAGCUUGAAGAAGCUAUAGAACACAGAGACUUCCACUCCCUCAGCACCCCAUAAAGAGUUAUGGGGAUUUGUGUCUCUUGGGGAAGAUGAGAUAGGAGAUUAGGGCUUGGCAAAGCUGGCUGGGAAAGUAGGCAGGACCUGUUAAUUACAAGGUCUCAGACGCAUGUGCAGAACAGUUCCCAGAGCCCUGUAUGUGGACUUCCUGUGAGAACUCAAGCAGGUUUUCAAUAGGAUGGCCUAGAACUACAUCAGCCUGAGAGGUGGGAUCCCAGCACUGCCUCUCAGGACCCAUAUGUAGAAAUUCUCAUGAAUUUCCUUGAGAUUUGGACAGCAUAAAGGACACACCAACACCAUGAAGAGUGUAACUUUCCACGAUAGCCCAUGCUCUGUUUCCCAGACACAGUGUAUACUUUAGUUUUGCUUUUACCCUCUUUCUCUCUUUACUUAGUCCAAGAGCACUCUACAGAGCCAGUUUCUCCCCCACUCUUCACUUUUACUUUCUCAAAUAAAAUUUGGCCAUUGCUUUUUG